AGAGUUUGAUCAUGGCUCAGGAUGAACGCUAGCGACAGGCUUAACACAUGCAAGUCGAGGGGCAGCAUAAAAGUAGCAAUACUUGGUGGCGACCGGCGCACGGGUGAGUAACGCGUAUGCAACCUACCUAUCAGAGGGGAAUAACCCGGCGAAAGUCGGACUAAUACCGCAUAAAACAGGGGCACCGCAUGGUGAUAUUUGUUAAAGAAAUUCGCUGAUAGAUGGGCAUGCGUUCCAUUAGGUAGUUGGUGAGGUAACGGCUCACCAAGCCGACGAUGGAUAGGGAACUGAGAGGUUGGUCCCCCACACUGGUACUGAGACACGGACCAGACUCCUACGGGAGGCAGCAGUGAGGAAUAUUGGUCAAUGGGCGGGAGCCUGAACCAGCCAAGUCGCGUGAAGGAAGAAGGAUCUAUGGUUCGUAAACUUCUUUGCAGGGGAAUAAAGUGCAGGACGUGUCCUGUUUUGUAUGUACCCUGAGAAUAAGGAUCGGCUAACUCCGUGCCAGCCGCAGC
rnacentral:rRNA from 1 species